GAAGAGAAGUCAGGUACCAAUUCACAGAGAGGAAGGCUAUGAAGGAACCAGAAUACGGGAUUUGGAUUUUACUUAGAGGGUAACUGACAGCCAUGGAAGAAUCCUGCCCCGAGGACUUACACCACCUCCUUUUUCUAACAGCUCUUCAGUCUCCACUAUGGAUAAGCUAGGUGGGCAGAUGCUCCUGCGAAGAUCAAAGGAGAGAGGACAGCUGGCACUGGCACGGCGUUGACAGAGUUGGGGACACACAGAGUGGAGACAAGAGAGGCUGACUCUGGCAGAAAGGAGACAACACAGUUCUAUGCACCAGAAUUUCCAGGGUCCCCUCCAUGGCCUGGCUCUCGGUGGGAGGCAAACAAGAAAAAGACCUUGUGUGCGGAUGGAGAGCAGGGUAGAGCUGGUGCAGCAUGCCUGGGGGACAGUCACAGCAGAUGAACGGAGGCCGUUCAGCGGGAAACCUUGGUGGGAACCCAGAAGUAAACACGUCUUUGGGAGAGUCACACUGUGUGUUUCUCCUCCGCUUUGAUCCCACUGGUCGUGCCGAGCCUGCUGCCUGUCCCCUGCUGCAGAUGCCCAUCAUCCCUGGCUUCCCAAAUGUCCUCGCUCCUGUCCCGCCGGUGGAAACUAGGGACACGGGUCCAUCAUGUGUUUUUGUCAGUUCUGAAAUCUCAGCAGUAUGAAAACCAAAAUUCUGGGCAGAAAAAGCAUGGUGAACUUACAUGAGACAGUUUAUUGUUCAUUAAUUGCUCUUAGUGAGAAUGUCUGUACAUUUUGUGCCAAAAUACCGUUGUGUUUUGUUUCUGGUGCCGGCCCAGCCUUCACAGUGGGUGAGACUCAGCGAAUGUUACAUGCUCCCACGUACCUUUAGAUGAUCUAAAAAUCUCCUGAUCCAAAAACAGCGAGACUCAAGGGUUUCGAUGCGUUACCUUUGUUACCUAGGGGCAAAGUGGAACAGAUUGUACAGGUACUUAUGUGAGGGUCCAGCAGACAUUAUUAUCUUUCCUUAAUAUCAUAAAAGUCUGUUCAUGUAACCGCCAUGGAGAGUCACAACCCAAGCUCUUCCAUCACCGUGAGCAUCGUUCGUGUGGCUCUUUUAUAACCACAUCAACACACACAUCAAGUAAUUUUAUCCCAAAAUUGUGAUAGAAAGGAAACCUAACAUAAGAAGUCUUUCUAAAGUGGUUUUUUCACACACUCCCCUCCCCUGGAGACCCAUCCUGCUUGUUGUGUGGAUCAACAGCCUGUUCCUUCUAAUUGUUGAGUGACAUCCCUCAACAGGAACGUGUGACCGUCUGAUUGACCGUCCAUCUGGUGAAGAAUGUUUGGGGGCUUCUCAGUUGGGCUGUUACAAAUAAAA